GUGCCAGCAGCCGCGGUAAAACGUAGGAGGCAAGCGUUAUCCGGAGUUACUGGGCGUAAAGCGCGUGUAGGUGGAUUGGUAAGUUACUUAUAAAAGCCCCUGGCUAAACUAGGGGAGGUUGGGUGAUACUGCCAGUCUUGAAUAGAGGAGAGGUUGACGGAAUUCCGCGUGUAGUGGUGAAAUGCGUAGAGAUGCGGAAGAACACCAGUGGCGAAGGCGGUCAACUGGCCUCGUAUUAACACUCAGACGCGAAGGCAUGGGUAGCGAACGGGAUUAGAAACCCCAGUAGUCC
rnacentral:rRNA from 1 species